rnacentral:tRNA from 1 species
GACAAGUCAUCAUGGCCUGCUGAGUGAUCUAGGAAAUCACCAUCGUGGGAUCAACUAUC